GCGAGCGACGCUGGCGGGCGGAGGGACGGCGGCUGUACGCUGUCUGCGCAGCGCCGCGGCCUAAAGCGCGCGGUGAAUACGGCGCCGCCGGCGGUCCCGGCGCGGCCCGCGGCGGGAGCGCGGGGAGGCGGCGCGGAGCGCGGUCGGACACCGCUCUCCCUCCCCGGCCCGCCGCCUCCCCGAGUGGCCCCGCCGCGUCCUGCCCCGGCGGCCGCGGAUUUCCCCUUCCCCCGCUUCUCGCCUCCGCCUCCUUCUCCGCGUUCCCCCCAGAGGCCGGGAAAGAAACUUCCCCGAAAGUUACCACAGGCCGCAGGACGACAACAUGGCCGCCUCGGCGGCGGCCCUGUCCCUCCCGCCGCGCCGGGGGGCCGCCAUGCCGCGGGGCGCUCGGCCUCGCCGCCCAGAGCAGGCGGCGGGGGAAGCCGGGCCAGCCCGCGGCGGGCAGCGCUGCCGGCUGUGCGGUACCUGUUGGAAGGGGCCGCCGCUCCCCUGGGUACCUCAGCCCCCGCGAAGGGGCUGCGGCCUUUGUCUGCCCCGGCCCCGCCGGGUAGAAUCGCCGUGACCGCAGAGUGUAGCAGCCUCCGGGGCCGGGCUGCGGCUGAGCAGGGAUUUUUGGGACCAGGUUGGGCCUUGAGGUGCCCUUUGGUCUGUCAGACCUCAGCUGAGGCGAGUGAGAGCUUCCUUGGAGCUGGGCCUAGAGUCUGAGUUCUUGCAUGCUGUGUGCUGCUGUACAGGUCUCAAACGCGUGAUGACUGCCCGCACGGUAACAGUCCUCUCUCUACAAAAAUAGAGGAUGUGAGAAGAGAAAGGCGAGUCAGAAGAGUGGCAGAAGUCAUGUGUGUGGGUGAAGUGUUGCCAGUUCCUGGCCUUGCAUGAAGCACUGUGUGGAGUCCUGUCCCCAAAACUACCUAGAACUGUGCCUGGGAGUGGGGUCAGAGGGAUGCGCCUUUACUGCAAGGUCACACAGUGACAAAAACUGCGAAUGCUGUACUGGGAUGUGUAAAUAAUACAAUGCUUAAACCAAGAAUAACUUGCAGGGAGCUACAGGCAGGGUUUGUCUAUCCAAAAGCAGAUGCUUACAUUUGAGUAAGUUGUCUGGGCACCCUGUCUUGUCCACAGGGAAAAGCAGGCACCUUCAGGGUCUGGUGCCCUCCGUUCUAGGACAGAUGUUCAUCUGGCAUUAUAAACCAUAAAAUAUAUUUCCUCACCUAUCACAAGGGAGAUUAACAGGUUCGGUGACUUCUCAACACAGAAAUAAGUGGAAAAGUCUAUUACCCUUAUAACACAGGAUUCACUCCAUCCGCUAAAGAGCGAUUAAGACAAUGGAGGCUCAGUGGCAGAAACCACAACUGCAGUGGGAAAUGUCCAGUGUCUCCAUGUAGACCACAGAGCUGUUAUGUCUGGGGCUGAAGGGUCAGACACUGUUAGCAACUUCUUAUGGAGCAGCUGGUCAGGGAAGCCAUGAAAGGAGAAGCAACUCUUGAUUGAAGGCAGAGAACAGGACCUGACUACUCAGUCUCUGAAUCAGUGACCAUUACGUACUUAAGAGUCACCAUGCUGAUCAGAGCAACAAAAGCUAAAGAAAUCUCCUGUUAAUUUUGGAAAGGGGAACUCUGCAACAGCGAGAAGGCCUCUUGAAAAAAGCUGAAAGGAGUAGCUAAAAGAGUAAAAGGGGUUUAUGCAACAUGGAGCCAACUGAAAGGCAUCUCAUUGGAAGCUCUGACCAAAUGCAUAUCCCCUGUCAAAGCAUGUAAGAAGAUCAAGUGUGGCUGAAAAAAAAAUAGCUAAAAAAGUCAAACAGGGCAAAAGUCAGACAGGACAAGGGAGGCUAUCAGAAGCAAGAUGGCAUUCCGCACAAAGUUGGACUUGGGUUCUAAUGAGGAAAGCAGCAAGAUCGUAAGUGAAAUGUAAAGCUACUUGUGUAAAAAACAGUUUAACACACAACUUGCAAACAGAUUUAAAAAGCAGAAGAAGUCAUUUUUCAGUCUUGUCAGGAGCAGGAAGCCUGAGAGACGUUUUCUAGAACCAAUCUGCUGUCAAGAUGUAAAAGGAAUAUGCAGAAAAGACAAUACUGGAGCAGAAAACCCAAAUGACUUUUUUGCUUCUGCAUUGAUGGUGGAAGAGGCUGAGGAAGUUCCUGGACAGGAACUCACAAGCUCGCCUGAGGAUUUGUCGUAUGCUGAAGCAUCAGUAAGGGUCACAAUAAAUCGACAAAGCAAGUAAGGAACCCCCAAGACCUCUGUGACAGUGAAUGCAUGGGCUUUCUCCAGUGGCAGUAAUAAAGGAUGCAGCCUGACAAGAUGGCCUUGUACAAACACACACUAAGCAGCAAGUGCACAGAGGAGUCGAGGAGACAGUAAUCAUCAUGGACUAUUAUAUACGGACUGUUUUGUUGUCUGAACAAGAACAGGAGAUUUUCCUCUUUGCGGCAUAAUAUCAAUUUGUUAAUUGUGUUUGAGGUUUUGAUCUACCUUGAGAAGGCUAAUUAAACACUUCACAAAUGUUCAACAGCGAAAGCAAAAAUAAUACCAAGGAUUUUACAUGAGUAGCCUGGGAACAGAAAACAUAGUGCUUUUCUGCCAACAGAGUAGAAAAUUUACUAUUAUGAGUCAAGAAAGCCUUGUAGUUUCAAUAAUACCCAAUUCAUGUAUUGCUCUUAACUUAAUAAAUCUUCUUUCAUGAAGAUAAAAUGCUUUCUAAAGU